GGCGUUCCCCAACGGAAAUAUGCAAAUAUAGCUAGAACGCGCCAAUUGGAUCACGCUAUCUCGUGUUUUGGGGUUUUCCCUCCUUGCUUGUUCUGCCCACUAUGGCUCUUUGUACCCAUUUGAAACGACAGCCUGUGGUCUAUCUUGUUUUAGUUAUACAAAUAUUUGCUUGUAUCUCACCUGCCGGCAAGCCAGAUAGAAUCCUCCACUUGUUUCGACCAUAUGACAGGGAACGCCCAGGGUGUCAGCCACAUGGCAUCAGCCCUGGUUUCGAGCAGAGGUGUACCCCACCCACCCCAUGGUGUCUUGGAGGUCACGUAUUCCAGAACAUGCAAUCCUUCUCUGUAGUUUGAACCAAACGCUGUCAAAGGGGAAGUAAAGCAUCCUUCAUAUUUAACUAACAAGAUGUCGACCUAAAAACUAGCCAAGUACCUCAACUCCUCCACUGAGCAGAUUUCUUAAAGGGUCUCCCUGUUUACAACGAGAGCAAUUUCAGCCUGUUCCAUGCAGACCCUGUGUGCAAAGCAUCGAACCGAAGACCGUCCGUGUACCUCCCGACCUGCGAGUACCCCUCAGAACAGAUCAUUGUCACGGAGAAAACAAAUAUCCUCCUUCGCUACCUUCACCAACAGUGGGACAAAAAGAAUGCAGCGAAGAAGAGGGAACAGGAUCAAGGAGAGGGAGGGAGUCCAGCACCUCCACACAAAAUUGCAAGGACAGAUAGCCAAGAGAUGAACGAGGACUCUUAGGAGUGUGUGUACGGAUGCGUGCAUCUGGAGGAAGUACAUACAGGCACACAACAGACAUGACUAUAAAGACAUACGAGACACUCACACUUUGACAAACAACCUGAGAAAAUGUCCACCCUGGUUUGGGAAAAUGAAAAAAACAGUGGCUUUUUUUGUUACCUUCAAAGAGUUUCCUGCCUUGUCUAGUGCCCUGUUUUCAGCUUCACUGCCUAGCCCUGACCACAUGGGGCACUGCAACAUCUUUCCACACAGUUUGCUUCAGCAGACCCAAUACACUGAACUUCUGCCUGCCACAGCAGGGGAGGACCCAAGGAUGUAUAUAAACCCUGGAUUGAUGAUGCAAUGUAUUGGCCAUUGAGAGGCUUUGAAGCCACUGGUCGGCCAUAUUGGCAAUCUCCAGUAGGAGCAGUCCGCCGUAG
rnacentral:lncRNA from 1 species